GGCCGUGUGGCGAAAUGGCAUCGCGUCUGACUACGAUAUGAAUUCAUUAAAUCAGGAGAUUGCAGGUUCGACCCCUGUCUCGGUCA